rnacentral:misc_RNA from 1 species
UCUCCGUUGGUGAACCAGCGGAGGGAUCAUUACAGGACUCGCAAGACACCUACAACCCUGUGAACUUAACUAUAAGCACGUUGCUUCGGCGGGUGUCUCGGAGGGGGUUCUCCCUCCCCGAGACGCUAAACCCGCCGGCAGCCUACUAUACUCUGUCUCUUUGCGUUGGCAUCUCGAGUACAAUCAAACAAGUUAAAACUUUCAACAACGGAUCUCUUGGUUCU